UACGUAGGCAGCAAGCGUUGUUCGGAGUUACUGGGCGUAAAGAGUGCGUAGGCGGUCCUCUAAGUUUGGUGUGAAAUCUCCCGGCUCAACCGGGAGGGUGCGCCGAAAACUGGAGGGCUCGAGUGUGGGAGAGGUAAGCGGAAUUCCUGGUGUAGCGGUGAAAUGCGUAGAUAUCAGGAGGAACACCUGUGGCGAAAGCGGCUCACUGGACCAUAACUGACGCUGAUGCACGAAAGCUAGGGGAGCAAACAGG
rnacentral:rRNA from 1 species